GACAGAGGUGCCGAGCGUUAGGCGGAAUCACUGGGCUUAAAGCGUGUGUAGGCGGACUUCUAAGUACCUUGUGAAAUCCCACGGCUCAACCGUGGAACUGCUUGGUAUACUGGUUGUCUUGAGCCACUUAGGGGCAGUCGGAACAGACGGUGGAGCGGUGAAAUGCGUAGAUAUCGUCUGGAACGCCAAAGGUGAAAACAGACUGCUGGGAGUGUGC
rnacentral:rRNA from 1 species